CCCCCUGGAGGCGGCAGCGCCCGUUUAUUUGAGGCUUCUAAUGUGAGGAAAAACACGGAAUGACAAGUGUGGGAAAGAGCAAGCACUAAAUUACUGUCAGAAAAAUAAACGGAGUAGCACAGUGCUGCUCGGUGAUUUACGGGGGCAAUUAGUCACCACCCCACGGCGCUGCUGAGGACAGCACGGCAGCAGACAAGUCAGGCCCAUGAGGAAGAAGAGGCUUUGCACUGCUCUCCAGACAACUUUUCAAACAACAAGAGAGGAUAUUUGAGCACAUUAGGUUUUGUGUCUUCAUUCUGGCCGUGUGAAGAUGUGCCUGCUUCGCCUUCCAUCAUGACUGAAGUUUCCUGAGGCCUCCCCAGCUAUGCUCCCUAUACAGCCUGCAGAACGGUCGGCUGCCUCCAAUCCUGAGGUCAUCACUCAUCAAGAGGGGAUAAUCCCAGGGACAGCAGGAUCUGCUUCGUUACUUGGAUUUAGGAGCCAGAAACCCAUCAGGCAACUAAACAGUAACAAUGACCCGCCAUUAAACACACUGAGAGAAGAGCAUGAUGAAGAGUUUGUACAAGAAGAAGCCAGGAGCACUUGCUGACAAUGCUUACAGAGACGCAGGCUUCUAUGAGCUCUGCCUGUUGAACUGCAGUAAAAAUAGAUCUCCUUCCCCAGAGAGGCUUGGAUGUGGGCACAAUAUCAGUUCAGACGAUGGUCAAUGCAUGUACUUAAUAGAGUGAAAAGACUUUGGACUGUGAAGUCAGAUUACCUGGGUCUGAAUUGUUAUUCUUCUACUUCUUUGUAGUAUGCUUUCACCACAUUAAAAAUUGUCUGAGCCUC
rnacentral:lncRNA from 1 species